rnacentral:lncRNA from 1 species
AUAAAAUCCUGACUCCUGUAGUGCGUGUGUAGGGUGACUGUAUGACUGAUACUCAAACUGGGAUGGCUGUUAAUACAUAUGUAAGGAAAACAGAUGCAAGGAGGACUCUCCCAGGAAAACCAAGAUGUAUCCAUGAGACCCUGCUAGAUCUGGCUGCGGCCCCAACUGUCCCUGUCCUCAUCUGCCCACUUUGCUCCAGCUACCUCAUUAAAAUGUAGCAGGGAUCCCGCCCGCUU